rnacentral:rRNA from 1 species
CAAGCGGUGGAGCAUGUGGUUUAAUUCGAUGCAACGCGAAGAACCUUACCUGGUCUUGACAUCCACGGAAGUUUUCAGAGAUGAGAAUGUGCCUUCGGGAACCGUGAGACAGGUGCUGCAUGGCUGUCGUCAGCUCGUGUUGUGAAAUGUUGGGUUAAGUCCCGCAACGAGCGCAACCCUUAUCCUUUGUUGCCAGCGGUCCGGCCGGGAACUCAAAGGAGACUGCCAGUGAUAAACUGGAGGAAGGUGGGGAUGACGUCAAGUCAUCAUGGCCCUUACGACCAGGGCUACACACGUGCUACAAUGGCGCAUACAAAGAGAAGCGACCUCGCGAGAGCAAGCGGACCUCAUAAAGUGCGUCGUAGUCCGGAUUGGAGUCUGCAACUCGACUCCAUGAAGUCGGAAUCGCUAGUAAUCGUGGAUCAGAAUGCCACGGUGAAUACGUUCCCGGGCCUUGUACACACC